rnacentral:rRNA from 1 species
AUGAACGCUGGCGGCGUGCCUAAUACAUGCAAGUCGAGCGAACAGAUGAGGAGCUUGCUCCUCUGACGUUAGCGGCGGACGGGUGAGUAACACGUGGAUAACCUACCUAUAAGACUGGGAUAACUUCGGGAAACCGGAGCUAAUACCGGAUAAUAUAUUGAACCGCAUGGUUCAAUAGUGAAAGACGGUUUUGCUGUCACUUAUAGAUGGAUCCGCGCCGCAUUAGCUAGUUGGUAAGGUAACGGCUUACCAAGGUAACGAUGCGUAGCCGACCUGAGAGGGUGAUCGGCCACACUGGAACUGAGACACGGUCCAGACUCCUACGGGAGGCAGCAGUAGGGAAUCUUCCGCAAUGGGCGAAAGCCUGACGGAGCAACGCCGCGUGAGUGAUGAAGGUCUUCGGAUCGUAAAACUCUGUUAUUAGGGAAGAACAAAUGUGUAAGUAACUAUGCACGUCUUGACGGUACCUAAUCAGAAAGCCACGGCUAACUACGUG